GACGAACGCUGGCGGCGUGCUUAACACAUGCAAGUCGAACGGGCCUUGUCCCCUUUUUUUUUGGGGGUGGGGUUAGUGGCGAACGGGUGAGUAACACGUGAGUAACCUGCCCCUCACUUCUGGAUAACCGCUUGAAAGGGUGGCUAAUACGGGGUGUUCUGGCCUGCUCGCAUGGGUGGGUUUGGAAAGAUUCGACCGGUUUUGGUUGUUUUGGUGGGGGAGGGGCUCGCGGCCUAUCAGCUUGUUGGUGGGGUGAUGGCCUGCCAAGGCUUUGACGGGUAGCCGGCCUGAGAGGGUGGGCGGGCACACUGGGACUGAGACACGGCCCAGACUCCUACGGGAGGCAGCAGUGGGGAAUAGUGCACAAUGGGCGCAAGCCUGAUGCAGCGACGCCGCGUGAGGGAUGGAGGCCUUCGGGUUGUGAACCUCUUUCGCCAGUGAAGAAGGUACUGCUCUUUGUGGUGGGGUUGACGGUAGCUGGGUUAAUGAAGCGCCGGCUAACUACGUG
rnacentral:rRNA from 1 species